AUUGAACGCUGGCGGCAUGCUUUACACAUGCAAGUCGAACGGUAACAGGCCUUCGGGUGCUGACGAGUGGCGAACGGGUGAGUAAUGCAUCGGAACGUGCCCAAUCGUGGGGGAUAACGUAGCGAAAGUUACGCUAAUACCGCAUAAGCCCUGAGGGGGAAAGUGGGGGACCGCAAGGCCUCACACGGAAUGGAGCGGCCGAUGUCAGAUUAGCUAGUUGGUGGGGUAAAGGCCCACCAAGGCGACGAUCUGUAGCGGGUCUGAGAGGAUGAUCCGCCACACUGGGACUGAAACACGGUCCAUACACCUACGGGUGGCAGCAGUGGGGAAUUUUGGACAAUGGGCGCAAGCCUGAUCCAGCCAUGCCGCGUGCGGGAC
rnacentral:rRNA from 1 species